rnacentral:rRNA from 1 species
AGUGAACGCUGGCGGUAGGCCUAACACAUGCAAGUCGAACGGCAGCACAGUAAGAGCUUGCUCUUACGGGUGGCGAGUGGCGGACGGGUGAGGAAUACAUCGGAAUCUACUUUUUCGUGGGGGAUAACGUAGGGAAACUUACGCUAAUACCGCAUACGACCUACGGGUGAAAGCAGGGGAUCUUCGGACCUUGCGCGAUUGAAUGAGCCGAUGUCGGAUUAGCUAGUUGGCGGGGUAAAGGCCCACCAAGGCGACGAUCCGUAGCUGGUCUGAGAGGAUGAUCAGCCACACUGGAACUGAGACACGGUCCAGACUCCUACGGGAGGCAGCAGUGGGGAAUAUUGGACAAUGGGCGCAAGCCUGAUCCAGCCAUACCGCGUGGGGGAAGAAGGACUUCGGGUUGUAAAGCCAUUUUGUUGGGAAAGAAAAGCAGCAGGUUAAUACCCCGCUGUUCUGACGGUACCCAAAGAAUAAGCACCGGCUAACUUCGUG